AUGCCUUACACAUGCAAGUCGAACGGCAGCACGGGAGCAAUCCUGGUGGCGAGUGGCGAACGGGUGAGUAAUAUAUCGGAACGUGCCCGGUCGUGGGGGAUAACGUAGCGAAAGCUACGCUAAUACCGCAUACGAUCUACGGAUGAAAGCGGGGGAUCGCAAGACCUCGCGCGAUUGGAGCGGCCGAUAUCAGAUUAGGUAGUUGGUGAGGUAAAGGCUCACCAAGCCGACGAUCUGUAGCUGGUCUGAGAGGACGACCAGCCACACUGGGACUGAGACACGGCCCAGACUCCUACGGGAGGCAGCAGUGGGGAAUUUUGGACAAUGGGCGCAAGCCUGAUCCAGCAAUGCCGCGUGCAGGAUGAAGGCCUUCGGGUUGUAAACUGCUUUUGUACGGAACGAAACGGUGAGCUCUAAUACAGUUUGCUAAUGACGGUACCGUAAGAAUAAGCACCGGCUAACUACGUG
rnacentral:rRNA from 1 species